rnacentral:tRNA from 1 species
GACUCGAUAGCUUAAUUGGUAGGGUGUCAACCCAGUUCGCUGAAUAUGCGAGUUCAAAUCCCGCUUGAGUCA